AGCUAUUUAGGUAGCGCCUCGUGAAUUCAUCUCCGGGGGUAGAGCACUGUUUCGGCUAGGGGGCCAUCCCGGCUUACCAACCCGAUGCAAACUGCGAAUACCGGAGAAUGCUAUCACGGGAGACACACGGCGGGUGCUAACGUCCGUCGUGAAGAGGGAAACAACCCAGACCGCCAGCUAAGGUCCCAAAGUCAUGGUUAAGUGGGAAACGAUGUGGGAAGGCCCAGACAGCCAGGAUGUUGGCUUAGAAGCAGCCAUCAUUUAAAGAAAGCGUAAUAGCUCACUGGUCGAGUCGGCCUGCGCGGAAGAUGUAACGGGGCUAAACCAUGCACCGAAGCUGCGGCAGCGACACUGUGUGUUGUUGGGUAGGGGAGCGUUCUGUAAGCCUGUGAAGGUGUGUCGUGAGGCAUGCUGGAGGUAUCAGAAGUGCGAAUGCUGACAUAAGUAACGAUAAAGCGGGUGAAAAGCCCGCUCGCCGGAAGACCAAGGGUUCCUGUCCAACGUUAAUCGGGGCAGGGUGAGUCGACCCCUAAGGCGAGGCCGAAAGGCGUAGUCGAUGGGAAACGGGUUAAUAUUCCCGUACUUGGUGUUACUGCGAAGGGGGGACGGAGAAGGCUAUGUUGGCCGGGCGACGGUU
rnacentral:rRNA from 1 species